rnacentral:tRNA from 1 species
GCCUGGCUGGCUCAGUCGGUAGAGCAUGCGACUCUUGAUCUCAGGGUCAUGAGUUCAAGCCCCAUGUUGGGGG